rnacentral:tRNA from 1 species
GGAGGGUUGUCCGAGUGGUCGAAGGAGCUGGUCUCGAAAACCAGUAUACCAUUUUUGGUAUCUAGGGUUCGAAUCCCUAACCCUCCGCCA